AAAGAAGUCACACCAUUUCCAGGGAAAUCUAGAGUUAUUCACCAUUAAGACAAAAUAGACAAAGUUGACAAGAUUCAAAAGUGGUUUGGGUAAAAGAGACUCAAUCCUAGAGGGGCAUUUGAUUCCAAAAGGGAAGAAGACGUACUUCAUCUGGAACAUCGUGAAGUCACAGAAGAACUUCACAAGUGUUCCGAUCGGAAGGGAGCCCUUUGAGUAAGUGAAAUGAAGCGUGAAUAACUGCCUAAUUAGUGGACAUGAAAACUGGACAGUCUCCAAAGUCAUCAGAGAUGACCACGCUUGCCAGGCAACUUACUAGACUAAGGGUGACGUGCCCAUCAUGCAGGAAGCUUCUCCAAGGCUGGCGAGAGCAACUUGUCUGCUUUGAGAAAUGCAGAUCUAUCAGGAUCCAGAAUCGGACUCUGAAAAAGCUGUCAUUUCAUGUCUCUAAAACAGCCUUUGAUUUAAUGUACAAGAUGUCAAGAAGUAAAGGACAAUAAAAUAAAAACCAAAAAAGGAGAACUAUUUCAAUUAAGAAGCAUUCCUAUAUCAAUUCUUGGAAAUCACAUAAAAUAAAAGCUGUCAGAAUCAA
rnacentral:lncRNA from 1 species